UCUCUGGUAGCGUAUCGGCUAGCGCGCGGUUGUCAGCGAUUGAAUCUGGGUUCGAUUCCUAGCCAGAGAG